rnacentral:rRNA from 1 species
UACGAAGGGGGCUAGCGUUGUUCGGAAUUACUGGGCGUAAAGCGCGCGCAGGCGGUCUUCCAAGUCAGUGGUGAAAGCCCGGAGCUCAACUCCGGAACUGCCAUUGAAACUGUGAGACUUGAGGAUGAGAGAGGUGAGUGGAAUUCCCAGUGUAGAGGUGAAAUUCGUAGAUAUUGGGAAGAACACCGGUGGCGAAGGCGGCUCACUGGCUCAUAUCUGACGCUCAGGCGCGAAAGCGUGGGGAUCAAACAGG